rnacentral:rRNA from 1 species
AAGUCAGGUAGCAAGGGCGCAGGGCGGAUGCCUUGGCUCUGGGAAGCGAAGAAGGACGUGGCAAGCUGCGAUAAGCCUCGGGGAAGAGCAAACAUCUUUUGAUCCGGGGAUUUCCCAAUGGGGUAACCCGCAUGGCUGUUGAGGCCAUGCACUACUGACUGAAUCCAUAGGUCAGCAGAGCGAACUCAGGGAACUGAAACAUCUCAGUACCUGAAGGAAAAGAAA